UCAACGCUGGCGGCGUGCCUCAGACAUGCAAGUCGAACGCGAAAGGCCCCUUCGGGGGCCCGGUAGAGUGGCGCACGGGUGAGUAACACGUAGGUAAUUUGCCUUCGGGUGGGGAAGUAACAGCCGGAAACGGCUGCUAAUACCGCAUAAUGCAGCGGCUCGACAUCGAGACAGUUGUUAAAGCGGGGGAUCGCAAGACCUCGCGCCUGAAGAGAAGCCUGCGGCAGAUAGCUUGUUGGUGAGGUAAUGGCUCACCAAGGCGACGAUCUGUAACCGGCCUGAGAGGGCGGUCGGUCACACUGACACUGACAUACGGGUCAGACUCCUACGGGAGGCAGCAGUCGGG
rnacentral:rRNA from 1 species